rnacentral:rRNA from 1 species
CCAUCAGCAUAUAUUGAACAUUGUCGCGUCAAAAGAAACUUGAUAGUUAGGAUUCGAUGGUCAGUUUACUUUGAGGAAUUAGGAAUGCUUCAAGCAGCCAUACUCCUUGAAUGCAUUUGCAUGGAAUAAUCAGAUAAGACCUCGCCUCUAUGCUAUUGGUUUCUAGGGCUGAGGUAAUGAUUGAUAUGGAUAGUUGGGGGCAUUUGUAUUCAAUUGUCAUAAGUGAAUUUCCCGGAUUUGUGGAAAACGGAUUACUGCGAAAGUAUUUGCCAAGGAUGUGUUGAUCAAUAACGAAAGUUAGGGGAUCGAAGACGAUCAGAUACCA